ACCAACGAACUGGGGCUUGGCCCACGAAACUAAUUAAGUUAAUAAGACAAAUAUUAUAACAAAGUAACAAACAAACAAAAAGGGAAAAAGAAAGAAAGAGAAAGAGGCGGUGAGAGAGGGAACAAAAGAGGCGGUCUAUGAAGGUUUAUAAAAGAAGAAGAAAAACCAGCUUUGCUGGUUUCAUCGUGAAGUUGGCAGCAACUCUCCAAGAAAAAGAAAAAGAAAAAGAAGAGAGAGAAUAUUAAGGAAAGAAUAGCAAGAACCAGAAACCUAGAAGCAAAAUCUAAGGCUAACGCUCCCGGCAAACACCUAAAUUCCUUACUCUGUUAUUGCUCCUUCAUUCAGAUAAUAUAGCUGAAGCUGACAUUUCGACUCAGGUAUAGUGAUUGACAGAGCUGACCAUGGAUCCCGUAAGCCUCGCACUUGCUUCGCGUGGGUUGUCAUUUUGCUUAGACCUUUUGGCAUGUUGUUGGUUUAAAUCCUAGAGUUCUGCUCCUUAAGUCGGUCUUGGACUUAUAUUUUGGCUUGCGUAGUAAUAGAGUAGCUUGAGACGUGUAAAGUUGAUGUUGAAUCAUGUGGCUUUGUGUUGUUGAUAUUUAUUUUAGACUUUGUACUUUA